CUCAACUCCAGCUUCUUCUUUAUCCUCUUAUGGGUUACUAACACUGUUCCUCAUCCAUCAUCAACUUUCAAGAAUAAUUUACAUUUCAUGUUCUUUUUGAUAGACAUCAUAAGAAUCCUCUGCUUACAGUAACCCAUUUUCAGCUAUGUUCUCUUGUGAAUGGUUGUGGUUUCUCCUUUUGUUAAGGGUGUUUGUCCAAGAAAUUGAUGGAACUGUAGUGAAUUGCACGGGAAGCUUCACACUUCAGCCCUAUAGUGAUAGAAACCUAUUUCAGGUUUAAAGUAUUUGAUUCGAUCUGAGCCCCUCCCAUUUUGCCAAGUCCUUUUUGAAGGUUUCAGAUACCUAGGCUAAAUAGCAUUUCAUAUUUCUUAUUGGCGUUUAGGACUUUGUAAAUUAACUCUAUGUAAAGAACUUUAUGCUUUAGCCUUCCCAACCCUUCCAUCCCUUGAUUGAUGAAACUCUUAAAUAUGGGCUCUGUAAUUUAUCACUAUUGAUGAUUCUCCUUCCUCUC